AGUCAUGUUCAAGUCUGAAUUUUUUCCCUGUGUGUUACAACAGGUGAUGGCAUUCUGGCAGGAGUCAUGUGGUCGUUGAUUAUAAUGGUGGCUCGUGCUGUUAAAAAAUUGUGUUCUUUAUAUAUUUGAGAUGAUAGAAAUUUAAAAUAGGUAAUCCAAUAAGCGAUGUUUCUUCUUUGCUUCUCUAGCUAUCAUGUACCACAUAAUUCUUUCCGCCCAACAUACUACUGGUUGCCGGGAGAAAUACAUGUUUGUGUGUGCUCAAUCCAGUUGUGGAUGCUUUCAUAUAUGUACUUUGUGAUUUGCCAGACCAUUCAUUCUUGUUGCUGGUUGAUGAAUGGAAGUUAAUUGAUCCAUGGUUGCAACGUGCAUUAAGCCGUCUUUCCUUAUGCCUGUGCUGGUGAUUUGCUUGCUAAGUGCUCCUUUUGAACAAAUAGAAGUCGGAUGUGCCCAGUUUUCUUGCUUUCUUACUAACGAUACUUGUUUCGGUACCCAGUGUAACAUGUGAUUGUUGCUUGCGUGUGCACAAGCCAAUAUCUGCUGCUUUGAUAUAUGUGGUUCAUAAUUUAGUGGAACGCCUCUUGUUGUUGCUUUAGUAUGUGUCCUUUAGAAUCCAACACAACAUCGCUUCCUUUCUACAAGUGCAUAGAAUGAUUCUUGUUAUACAUGCAGAUUAGUGAACCAUACAAUACAAGUGUCUUUGAUUUCAGUGUCCAGUAGGUAUUUUGUUUGCUCUUCAUUCAUUUUGUUAUCUAUUGGAUGUUCUGUAGCAUGAUGUAUUUGUUCUUUUUGUUCCAUGGUAGCCGUCGGAUUUCAACCAAAUUAGUCUCUAGGUUGUUCGUGCGCUUGGGGAUUUUGGGUGCUUUGUCUCCUUUACUCGGCCUGUCGUUUUCUUAAACACUGUCCCUCAUGUAGGUCUGUGGUUCCUUCUGUUUUGUAGGUCCUGUUGUAGUUCCCUUCACUUGCCUUGCUGGCUAGCGCUCUGUUAGCUCGCCAGGUUCCCCGUCUUGCUCUUAAGGUUAGUGUUCUGUGCCUCAGUUUUUUUGUUUUCUUUCCAUUCGUUUCUUUUCAUUAGCUACUGUUUUAUUUCCUUUUAGUUUCUGAAUAUGUAUAUGUGCCAUGUUAUAUGUUGUAGGGUCUUUCUUAUUUUUAUACAAAAGAAAUACUAGCAACCUAUUAUUCUGCACCGCCCUUGAAUGAAUAUGAUUAGUCUUCAGUCUAGAAAGAGUAGUGCAUUGGUGGCCUGACAAGUAUAUCCAUCACUGUUUGGAGCUCUUGGUAGUAUUUGUAUCUUCUCUGGAUAAUACAUAUUUGUCCAUUUGUACAGGGAAUAGAAUAAUUACACCUCGUGGUAGUCACUAAAUCCUAAUAACCAGGCAACAAUCUAAUGCAAAUCCAAACAAACAUGUAGUUUAUCCAACCAGAAACCAUUUAUUUCUCCUGCUUCAAUUUUAGUAUUUCUCCUGCCGAGGAGCGCUGCCUUGAUCCGGACUCGGCAGGAGGAGUGGAGCAGCAGCCAAGCACACCAGCCGACGCGCCCGUGAGUUUCUCUUUCUAAUCCCCUUUACCUUCUCGUACGUGCCUAAUAUUGGGGAAAAAGAUAGAUAGAUUUGGGAGAGUCUUUCUUCAUUGUCUAUGCUUUUUCCUUCUGUUAAUGAUGAUAGUGCAGCUCUCCAUCUUAUUAAUUCCUUACCCAUUCGCUUGAAAUAUUGCCUAAAUAUUAUUAUUUUUCUAGUUGGUUUAGCAGCCUGACUUAUAUCUUCUACAUUGCCCAUAGAAAAUCUUCAAAAGUGUAGUCAUAUAGAGAAUCUUCAAAAGUGUAGUCAUAUAUGUCACUUGAUAAAUUGCGGGACAUUAAUCUAUACUGCUCCUAUGCGUUUCAGCUGUCACCAAUCCAUGGUGAAAUAAACAGGAGAAUACAUGCUUGCAGAAGUUGUCAAGAGGCUCCAUUUAACCAUCAAAGACCAUGAGACCUACCAAUCCAGUGAUAGAGAUGGACACAAUCUCUCCUUGUGGAAGAACAAUGUAUCAAUUGCCAACAAAACCAAACAUUUCAUCCUAUCUUACCAUGUAGUACUAACUUAACUGCAAUGUAUCACUUGUGUCAAAAACUAUUUGAAUCGUGUAUUU
rnacentral:lncRNA from 1 species